rnacentral:lncRNA from 1 species
GAUGGACGGCGGCGCCAAUGGCGAUUCCCCUGUAGAUCUGGUGUUUCAGGUCAGCGGCUAUGGUCUCCCCUUCCUGCACCACCCCUCCCCCUCCCCUCUACCACCCUUGCUUUACUGUGGGCAUCCUGCUGACGGCUCCCCGGCGUAAUUGUCGGCGGCGUCCAUUCUUUUCUCAUUAGGUUCGUUUCCCCCUCCCCUUUCACAGGUAGUUCAUCUUGCCGGAGGGUGUGCCCCUCACGACGAUGCAGAUAGUAAGAGCCAGCACGCCGGCGGAGUCUGCAAUUAAUCCACGAGCUCCCGGGUGGAUUAAGUGGAUAUGUUCUUCUGAUUGAAACCUUGGUCCAGCUUAGAACUAUACAAAUCCCUCCCGUGCCGGCUUGCUCUAUUUAGGUUCUCUAAUUCAUCUCCGGGGAAUGGGAUCGUAGUUGGCAUUGUGAGUUGUUUACCUUUUUAUGAGCUCGUGAGUUGAUGGACCGCGGCGUGGAACCGGACAACGACGGGAGUAUGGACAAUGGUCCAGUGGAGUGUGGGGAGUCAGCAGUGAAGCCGGAUCGAGGUCGCCCUUGUGGUGUUCAUAAGAUUAGUUAGACCAAAGUAGUUAAAUUUAGGUUGCCUCUUGUCUGUUAAAAAAAGAGUAAUACUUCCAUGAGGUAAACAAUGGGUGAAUUAGUCCCUGUAAUCAUGUCGGUAUGAAUUGGUGCUGUAUCAGACAGGAAGGGAAGGGUAUUGUAUCGUUCUCCAUGCCCGGCAGGGUGCGCGAGAUGGAGGGGUGGGGUGUGGUUUGGCCAUUCACGUUUGUCAUCAGCGGCAAGAUCGCCUGUGAAUUGUCUUGGUUUAUGUAUCUUGGAGCGGAACAUCGGUUCGCGUGUGGUAAAACAACCAAAGUUGUUUUGGUCCAGAUUUUGUGUUGGAUCACUGAUUUAUGGAUAUGUUUUUUUUCACACACAGUGCGUGUAGGCGCUAAUCCGAUGGAAUGAACACCCCGUCAUGGUAGGAUGAGGGCCCUCGAAAAAUCCAUAAGAGGCUUUGCGAGACCGGAGAGGGACAGAGAGGAAGUUGUUAAGCCAGAGUUAGGAACUACAUCGACUCGUCGAUAGCCUAGGAAGGUAGGAAAGAUGCAACAGUGUUCCUGGACACCAAAAGAACACCUGCAGUAGACUAGCGAAAAAUACGAUUUGCAUUCAAGUGUGAUGCUUGUAUGAGCUCAUGAUGAGUUGAUGUUGUAAACGUUGUUGCUCUAUAACUGCUUAGUUGUAAUGCAGAGCUUGUUAAUGCGACUUGCUAAUCUUUCUUGGUAGCUAGACUGAUUGACUAGACAUGGUUGUGCACUUGCAUUACUAAUCUACAGGAAACAUAUGAGGUUCAAAAUUUGAAUGAGGGAACAACGCUCGGUCCGCCUAGUCGCUACAAGAGGCCCGAUGAGAAUCUAGUUUAAUCGGAGGAGCAAUGGCACCUUCAAUCAGCUGGGAAAGCUCAGGGGUACUCACGUCAAGGUUGGCUUGGUCCACGCCUGAUGCAAUUAGCAAUGAGGUGUUCUCGCAAAAAAGAACAAUGAGGUAAACAUAUGUCAUUGCUGUUGUGUUGCUUUCAACCUCAUUUGGUCCCUCCAUUUGUGCUGAUCUAAUUCUUCUUGUUGUCAGAUAUACUUAUUGAGUGAGGGUGGUGGCUUGCCAUGAACGGCUUAAGCACGGUCCAGGUGUUUCUCACACAAGGUCCAAGUUUCCUGCCAUGCAGACCGUACAGGACCAACGGGCUUCUACUGCAGUAAAUGUGAAGCAGAUGUGGGCCUAUGCACUAUUCAAUACUGAUUUCAUCCAAGCAAUACAAAGCGAUAUACAGCUAGCGGCUUAGAUCCCUAUGUAGACCAUGGGUUUAGAUAAUGAGAGCAUAUGGUCGUACGAGCCAUAUCGAAUUUCCGCAUACAAAGGUUAAUUAUUAGAGUGGGUACUAAAACAUAUUCUAUUUUAUAAUAUGUUUUAUUGUCAUCUUCAGAUUAUGUGCCUCACUAAGAGAAGGCACCCAAAGAUGAGGGAAGAACACAUCGUCAUAUGUGGUCUAUUUUUAGUUUUCGCUAGCAAAAGAGACAGUGCAUUGUAAUAGGAGAAACAAUACGACAUAUGCCUGUAACCCAAUAAUCAUGAUUCAAGACCCCAAUAGAUCCAUGUCCUUU